rfam:Salmo salar isolate Sally breed double haploid chromosome ssa09, whole genome shotgun sequence.
CCCUGUGGCUCAGUUGGUAGAGCAUGGGGUUUGCAACGCCAGCAUGGUGUGUGCAACGCCAGGGUUGUGGGUUCGAUUCCCACUGGGG